GUGGGGAAUAUUGGACAAUGGGCGAAAGCCUGAUCCAGCCAUGCCGCGUGUGUGAAGAAGGUCUUCGGAUUGUAAAGCACUUUAAGUUGGGAGGAAGGGUAGUAACCUAAUACGUUGCUACUUUGACGUUACCGACAGAAUAAGCACCGGCUAACUUCGUGCCAGCAGCCGCGGUAAUACGAAGGGUGCAAGCGUUAAUCGGAAUUACUGGGCGUAAAGCGCGCGUAGGUGGUUCAGUAAGUUGGAAGUGAAAUCCCCGGGCUCAACCUGGGAACUGCUGUCAAAACUGCUGAGCUAGAGUACGGUAGAGGGUGGUGGAAUUUCCUGUGUAGCGGUGAAAUGCGUAGAUAUAGGAAGGAACACCAGUGGCGAAGGCGACCACCUGGACUGAUACUGACACUGAGGUGCGAAAGCGUGGGGAGCAAACAGGAUUAGAAACCCCUGUAGUCC
rnacentral:rRNA from 1 species